UACGUAGGGUGCGAGCGUUGUCCGGAAUUAUUGGGCGUAAAGAGCUUGUAGGCGGUUUGUCGCGUCUGCCGUGAAAUUUCGAGGCUCAACCUCGAACUUGCGGUGGGUACGGGCAGACUAGAGUGUGGUAGGGGAGACUGGAAUUCCUGGUGUAGCGGUGAAAUGCGCAGAUAUCAGGAGGAACACCGAUGGCGAAGGCAGAUCUCUGGGCCGUUACUGACGCUGAGGAGCGAAAGCGUGGGGAGCGAACAGG
rnacentral:rRNA from 1 species